UCUGGGGGAGUCACACAGGAACCCAGGGACUAUGUAUAUGAGCUGCCAGACACUCCAAGACACUGAACGCUCAGCCUGAGGCACAACGAAACACACUUGUGCAGGGGAAUCCGUGCCACAUGCCGCUCUCCAGCCUGCUCUGGCUCUUCCUGGCCUCCGUCUUCUCUGGAUCCAGUGUGACCCAGAAAGUUAUUCAAGACCAGCCAGUUGUACCCAGUCAAGUUGGGGAGUCAGUCACCUUAAACUGUCAGUGUGAAACAUCGCAGAGGGAUUACUACCUUUUUUGGUAUAAACAGCCUCCCAGUGGAGAGAUGAUUUACCUUAAUCUUUGGGAUUCUUCUAGACAAAAUACAAAGGAUGGCCACUACUCCAUAAACUUCCAGAAAGCACAAAAAUCCAGCAGUCUCACCAUUUCAGCCUUACAGCUGAACGAUUCUGCAACGUACUUCUGUGCUCUCUGGGAGCUCACAGUGCCUGAAGCAAUAGGAGAGGCUGAACAAAAACCCCAGAACUCAAUAAUAGAGAGCCCCUCUGCUAUAGGACUCAAGCUGAACUCCACACCUGCAGACCCCAAACAAGAAAUAGUCAUGUUGUGGUUGCUUCAUCUGUGGUUUGGAUCAAACAUUUAAUUCUAAGUAAAAUCU